CUUGAAUCUGUCUACACACUCAGUGGCUGCUCCUAAGUCUCUGUGUGGUGACCGACGUCGACCAGGGUUAGCAGAAGCUGUUGAGAACACAAGGAAGGAAGCUUCAGGGAGCUGACAGCCUGGGCGGCCAGUACACCUCACCUGAAAGAUGGGGCAUGGGCCAGAGCUUGGACACCAGAGUAAGCCCUGGCUUUGAAUCCUAGUUCUGUGACCUUGGUCAAGGAGAUUAAUGUUUAGUAGCUUUGGUUUCUUUAUCUGUAAAACAGGAAUCAGAGUGGUAGCGACACUGCAAGGCCCUUACAAGAGGAAGUCAGCAGCUUUAGAGUCCUUCCAGCUUUUGUUCUGAAUUUGCCUGGUAACUGGCUUUCUAGAAGAGCUCAUUGCUGGAUGGUUUGACUCCAUAGCACGCGAGGAGUUUCGGCACCUGCUACCAUCCUCAUUAUUCGUUCACAUGCUGGAUAGUCCAUGGAGUGGACAGGCAGCAAGAAGGAUAGCAGCAUGGAAGUAAAUUGUGGAUUUGUCAGCACCAGUGCUUUAUUUGGACAGUUUUGCUGGAACUCAGCUCCUUGUGACUGCACCAUUCAUGAGUGAGUUCACUCAACAAAUACUGACUGAGCACCUGGCAGGUGGCAGGCAUUGUUCUGUGAGCCAAGCAAAGUCCUUGCCGUUGCGGAUUUACCUUCUAGCAUGGAGAGAGAGAACAAACAGAUAAAUAUGCAAUAUGGCAGAGGGCAGUCCUCACUGGAGGGAGAGAUUAAGAAGGGUAGAGGGUAAGGAGUAUUGCAAAAGGGGUGUGCAGUGCUUCUGUCCAUGGGGUAGUCGGGGCAGGCAUUUCUGGUUAGGCACGGAGGCAGGAAGCUGGGCCGGGCUCUGAGGAGGACAUUCCAAGCAGGGAUGUAGCAAGUCCGAGGACCCCGAGGUGGGAGCUGACUUGGUCCUUUUGAAAAGCUUCAAGGACUGUGAUACCUGGGAAGCAGGGAGAGCUGGUGAGAAGUGAGUUCAGAGGCGGCAGGAGGUGGGCAGACCACCGUAAGCAUCCUGGCUUAUUUCUCUGGGUGGGAGGGGAAGCCAUCGGAGGGUCUGAAGAAGGCAAAACUGAGAUCUCUGCAAGGAAGCUGCCAUGAUUGUCUGGGGAGAGAGGAUGAUGGCCGGGUUGGGUGGCGGAAGUGGAGAUGGUGAGAAGUGAUCCCAUUCAGGACAUAUUUAGGAUGUAAUGUGAAGACAGAAACUGUGGGUGGGUUGGUCCUAAUUGUGAGGAAAAGAGAAUGGAUACGGGUGACUCCAGGGCUUCUGGCCUGGGCGCUGAAAUACGUGUGUGGACAUUUCUGAGGCAGAGACAGUGACAGGAAGCGAGGGAUGGUGUGUAUGUUCAGUUUGGGACACACUAGGAUUAAGACGCCUGUUACCGAAGUGGCCUGUCCAGGCGGCAGUUAGCUGUCUGAGUGUUGAGAGACGCUGGCAAGUAUACUUACAUCUUACUGUGAAUUUGAGGAAGGAAUUGGGGCUUAGGGUAGAAAUAAGGAGCUGAAUAAAUUUUGCCAACAUUCCCUAAUUGUCAUAGACUUUGUCACCCGGAUAUCUCUCUAGAUUCUAGAAAGUUUCCUCCGUGGGCAUCCACCAUUUGGGCCACUCAGAGGUAACCUGGAGGGUAGGUGAAGUGAGUGUAGAGAAAGACCUAGGGCCCCUGGGAACUGUUCGCAAUGCAUUUGGGUGCACAGGUUGUCAUGAGGGGAAUUCACUGUUAAAGCGACCAUGAGGAAAAAGAGCACUGUUCUCUGUCAUUCUCAGCAGCUUCAAGCGUUAGAAAGAAGAGAAGAAAGGAGCCAAUUGUUUUAGUGCCAUAAAGUGAGAGCCAGAAUGUCUUCUCAUAAUGUUUAUUUCAAGGAAGGUGUGUUAUUUUGGAAUUGGGGAUGUUUCUAAACUUUUCUCCUAAUUGAUUUUUAGCUGGCCAUUAGUAAAAAGAAAAAUGAUGAACAAAGUGAUAACAGGUGGAAGGUUGAUUCACCAAAGCAGGAUUGCUGCUGCAUAGAACGUUGAACACAGUACUGAAAAGAGCUCAACUCGGAAAGGUCAAUUUGCAAACAGCAUGUAGUUUUCAAGAUGGCAUCUCCAGUCUUAACCCAAGGGAUUGUGCUAGCUGGCAGGACGUGUGGGCAAGAGUCUUUGCUUGUUGGUCUUCUCAGUUGCAUCUUCCUAUGAAGCUAUCAGUAACACCAUUUUUUGGAGAUGAAGGCUGAAAUCUUAACAGACUUCAUUUCAAAUGACUCCUUGUGGACAAAGAGAAGAAAUUGACCUUGAGAAGUUUCACUUGCUGUGAUAGGAAGACGAUCUAGGCGUGCUUUGGGUGUGGCUAGAUUUCCUUUUACGGCUGCAGCCCCGUUUCUCAUCACCUGCCCCUCACAUUCUUUUCUCUGGCCUGUUCCACAGUGGGCAGGUCUAUGCAAACCUACUCACAAAGUCCGAGGAAGCCAACAGGCUGAAGAAAGAGGCUGAUGUAUCCAGUUUCUCAGAAAGAAACAUUUAAUAGGGACUUACGAACAGGAGCCCCGUCAGCAUCUCAGGUGGCGGUGAGACAGGAUGGUGGGUCCCCUGCUCCAUGACCCCCAGACCCAGGGCUUAUAGAUCACAGGGAGGGUUGGUUCAGAAGGGAGGUGCAGGACGAUUGAAGUAUGAUAACAUCAAGGUUGGCUGACCUAAGGGCAGGAUUUACAGUAAGUACUUGCUCUUAUACAGGGAACAAUAGACAGACUGGAAAUCUUAGAGGUGUGCCUGGAACAGAGGUUAAUCAGAAGCCAGUAUGAUGGAUCAUCCUCCAGAUGGAGUCACUGUAGCCUCCAAAUGGCCACUGCAGUUCUCUGCAUGCACCGUCCCUCCUUCCCCCCCGGCCUCUGCACAUACUGUUCCCCCUCU
rnacentral:lncRNA from 10 species